rnacentral:rRNA from 1 species
CAAUAGCGUAUAUUAAAGUUGUUGCAGUUAAAAAGCUCGUAGUUGAAUUUCGGGUCCCCGCGCUCGGCGCUUCAUUGUGCCGUCGUGGUGUCCCUCCUCGCCGUAAGGCGUCCUUUACUGUGAAAAAAUUAGAGUGUUCAAAGCAGGCAAUCGUUUGAAUACAUUAGCAUGGAAUAAUAAGAUAGGAUCUUGUCUAUUUUGUUGGUUGCGGACAACGAUAAUGAUUAAUAGGGAUAGUUGGGGGUGUCCGUAUUGAGCUGUCAGAGGUGAAAUUCUUGGAUUUGCUCAAGACGAACUACUGCGAAAGCAUUCACCAAGGAUGUUUUCAUUAA